AAAAUCUCGUCAGAGAUAUUGACUGCCGGUGAUCGGAAAGUACUUAAAGUCGAACUUCUCCAAUAGGAGACCACCACGCUCGUAUCAUGGAAGAAGCUUAUGGAUGAGGCUAGCAAGGAAAACGGCGGCUUGUUCGUUUCGGCUUCCUAACCUCGAGUUUCGCCUUGCACCGGGGGCACAAACAGAGAAUGAAAUG